GCAAACUUGGUCAUUUAGAGGAAGUAAAAGUCGUAACAAGGUAACCGUAGGUGAACCUGCGGUUGGAUCAUUAACAAAAUUUUAAUUUGAGACUGAGAAGGUUCCCUUAAAACCGGACCUCUCUUUCUUAAACACCUUGUGGAUAGUUUUUUAAAAAUCUGAUUUUGGGUGUUUUUUUUUGGUUUAUCAUUAGCCUUUUCGGUUAAUGGUUUAAAGAUUAAAUUCUGCCCGCCCAAUUUCAAAAAACUUUAGAACCUUGUAGAAAAACUUGUCUAAAAAAAAAUCUUUAAUUUUUAAUUAAAAAACAACUUUUGACAACGGAUCUCUAGGCUCUCGCAUCGAUGAAGAACGCAGC
rnacentral:misc_RNA from 1 species